GAUGAAGAACGCAGCGAAAUGCGAUACGUAAUGUGAAUUGCAAAUUCAGUGAAUCAUCGAGUCUUUGAACGCACAUUGCGCCCCCUGGUAUUCCGGGGGGCAUGCCUGUCCGAGCGUCAUUGCUGCCCUCAAGCACGGCUUGUGUGUUGGGCCCCGUCCUCCGAUCCCGGGGGACGGGCCCGAAAGGCAGCGGCGGCACCGCGUCCGGUCCUCGAGCGUAUGGGGCUUUGUCACCCGCUCUGUAGGCCCGGCCGGCGCUUGCCGAUCAACCCAAAUUUUUAUCCAGGUUGACCUCGGAUCAGGUAGGGAUACCCGCUGAACUUAAGCAUAUCAAUAAGCGUAGGA
rnacentral:misc_RNA from 1 species